GACGAACGCUGGCGGCGUGCUUAACACAUGCAAGUGGAGCGACGAACCAGGGCUUGCCCUGGGGCAGAGCCGCGAACGGGUGAGUAUCACGUGGGUAACGUACCCCGAUGACUGGGACAACCCGGGGAAACCCGGGCUAAUACCGGAUGUGCCCCCUCACAUCAGUGAGGUGUGUAAAGGAAGCUUCGGCCUCCGCAUCGGGAUCGGCCUGCGGCCCAUUAGCUUGUUGGUGAGGUAACGGCNCACCAAGGCUGCGAUGGUAGCUGGUCUGAGAGGACGAUCAGCCACACUGGGACUGAGACACGGCCCAGACUCCUACGGGAGGCAGCAGUGGGGAAUCUUGCGCAAUGCGCGAAAGCGUGACGCAGCAACGCCGCGUGGGGG
rnacentral:rRNA from 1 species